rnacentral:lncRNA from 1 species
CGGCGCCCCCCGCCGCAGCCUCGGGGGCCCCCCUGCGCCCAGGCCGCGCGCUCGCUCCCGCGGGGGGGCCUCCCCGCCGGCUCCCCGGGAAAUAGGAGUUCUUGACGGGGCCGGAGGGGGAGGGGAGCGCGGGCGUCUUGAUGGGAUUAGAGGAAACCCCGCGGAGAUGAUUUAGGGGCCGCGGUAAUUCACUUAAUAGGGGCCUGGGGCGGCUCGCGAGCGGGGACGGGCAACCGCGGCCGCCUCGAAAGGGCGCGCGGCGAGGAGGGGAGCGGCCCCAUUAGCGAUAUUUAAGAGAUUUCAUUUAGGAACGAGCUAUAAAAGGCCGUACUAUUUUAUCCACCUGGUGUGGUGGCCUUUAGCUUUCCUCUGCGUGAAUAUUAAAUUUGAGAUGGCGCCGCAGCAACACGUUUUGGAGAGUGUUCUUUGGGCUGUUAUUUGUAUGAUUUGGUGAAGCUGCCCCAUUCAAAGCCACCACCCGCAGCCCGAAUGAGACCACAAAGCGGGGGACACAGAUGGGACUUGGCCACAGACACCCUGAAAAGUCAAACUCGCAUCGGGGAAAAUACUUCCAGAGAGUGUUUUCUUGGACAGAAAUAGGAUGUAGUAGAAAGCCAGAGAGCAAAGAUGUUCCAAGACAUGGGAAAAAAAAGGACCCUCUGCCUCACAUUGUCGAAAACACCAGCAGCAGGAUUCUCACAUACGAUAUUACUGAAGUGAUUUUCAGUUUUCCAAAAUGCCACUCUCUCCCAGGGAACAACUUUCUCUCCUUUGGCCUGCAAGGACUCCCUGCGGCUCUGACCGGCUUUUCUUCUAGAGAAAACCGCACGAGGUGGGCCCUGGCUCCCGUAAUCAGGCUUCCCUCCAGCUCGCUCAUGCCAGGCCAAAUGCCCGGGCCCCCUCCCCUGUGCUGGGCUUCCAAGGCAUAUCCCCUAACUGUUGAGGUCUCUGCGAUUGCUUUUCUUUGCAGCCUACCAAGAACACAACAGGAUGGCUUUUUGUCAUGUCUCCUCUAA